rnacentral:misc_RNA from 1 species
AUGUGAAGUCGCAGUAACCAUGAAAGGAAAAAAAUACCACCAAUUAAAAGGAAUGCCAGCACAAGGCUCUAAAAGUAGAAGAGGCAUACCAAAAGAGUAUAGACCAGUUCACACAGACAAAGGUGAAUGCAUUAAUGAUAGAAUGAUAAAAAAUUUAUUAGUGUAAUCAAUGACUAAGGUAACCUGUAAUAUAGUUAAUGCACAGUUAUCAGAAUAUGGAAGACAUGUGAAUUCACCUG